AAAGAUCAAAGUGUACAGUUUACAAAGGGGACAACGAGAACACAUGUUGCAUGUUGCUGCUGUUCUUCUGCUCAGCAUUGGCUGCCGCAUUCAUACCCAGGACGAAGCCAUCUCCCCCGGGAAGCUUGAAUAUAAGAACAUCCGAGGAUCUACUGAUGUAAGGACUGUGACCUUCCCUUAACCCUGGAGAGCUGAGGUACUGAAGAGAUUCACAACAUGAUUAGGGCUCCACUAUCCAGGAGCCCUGCUGUCCCAGCUGGUCCCUCCUCAUCUCAAAAAGG